CCAUCCACUCCUACCGUUCUUCUACAUCUGCUAGCACCGCCUGUCCAGAGUCACCGCGUUGUCCAACCAAGCCAGAGCCCAUAAUGACUUGUGGCUGUGCAGGUAAGCCUUGAGUCUUGAAGUCUCCGUCCAUCUCUUCGAGCCUGGGUGAAGCUUUCCGCAGGAUGACAUGGCCUCUCCAGCAUCCCGGGCAUUCACUGGGUUCUCCAGGGAGCCGAUCAACCGUCCUUCACCCAGAGUUGCAUUGCGUCCGUUGUCUUGAAAAUCUUCUCUUAACCGGUCUUGAUUAUUUAAUCAACCUCGCAUCACUCGUGAUAUACACUCAACCGAAAACCCGUCUACUCAAGCA
rnacentral:lncRNA from 1 species